CAGCAGCCGCGGGAAUACGUAGGGUGCGAGCGUUAAUCGGAAUUACUGGGCGUAAAGCGUGCGCAGGCGGUUUUGUAAGACAGGCGUGAAAUCCCCGGGCUCAACCUGGGAAUGGCGCUUGUGACUGCAAAGCUAGAGUGCGGCAGAGGGGGAUGGAAUUCCGCGUGUAGCAGUGAAAUGCGUAGAUAUGCGGAGGAACACCGAUGGCGAAGGCAAUCCCCUGGGCCUGCACUGACGCUCAUGCGCGAAAGCGUGGGGAGCAAACAGGAUUAGAUACCCGUGUAGUCCCUGUCUCUUAUAC
rnacentral:rRNA from 1 species